rnacentral:rRNA from 1 species
GACGAACGCUGGCGGCGUGCCUAAUACAUGCAAGUAGAACGCUGAAGGAGGAGCUUGCUUCUCUGGAUGAGUUGCGAACGGGUGAGUAACGCGUAGGUAACCUGCCUGGUAGCGGGGGAUAACUAUUGGAAACGAUAGCUAAUACCGCAUAAUAGCAGUUAUUGCAUGAUAACUGUUUGAAAGGUGCAAUUGCACCACUACCAGAUGGACCUGCGUUGUAUUAGCUAGUUGGUGGGGUAACGGCUCACCAAGGCGACGAUACAUAGCCGACCUGAGAGGGUGAUCGGCCACACUGGGACUGAGACACGGCCCAGACUCCUACGGGAGGCAGCAGUAGGGAAUCUUCGGCAAUGGACGGAAGUCUGACCGAGCAACGCCGCGUGAGUGAAGAAGGUUUUCGGAUCGUAAAGCUCUGUUGUAGGAGAAGAAACGAGUGUGAGAAGUGGAAAG